rnacentral:rRNA from 1 species
UACGUAGGGGGGCAAGCGUUGUCCGGAUUUAUUGGGCGUAAAGAGCGUGUAGGCGGCCAUACAGGUCAGCUGUGAAAACUCGAGGCUCAACCUCGAGACGUCGGUUGAAACCGUAUGGCUAGAGUCCGGAAGAGGAGAGUGGAAUUCCCGGUGUAGCAGUGAAAUGCGUAGAUAUCAGGAGGAACACCGAUGGCGAAGGCAGGUCUCUGGGCUGACACUGACGCUCAUGCACGAAAGCGUGGGGAGCAAACAGG